rnacentral:pre_miRNA from 1 species
UCGAGGACUUUCCAUUGUUCAUCUUGACGAAUGGAUGAACUAUGAACCAGUGCUCGAGA